UGCUCCGGUGGUCUAAGAUCAUAAGAUGCACAGCUGUCAACUGCGGGAUGCAGGUGUAAGUCCUGCCCGGGGCAACC
rnacentral:tRNA from 1 species